GAAAAAAUUAAUGGGACCUUUGAGUAUUAGAGAAGCGCGAAGACGACUAUUUAAAGGGAGCAUUUCUCAUAGGGUAACAUCAUUGCUACUUUCACUUUCUUGAGAUAAAAACGAAUACUUGAAGUAUCCUACAUUUUGCCUUCUGGAUUUAUUCGUUUCUCAGAUAUCAUGGGGAAGAGUAAAUGACACGAAUUAAAGGCUAAAUUCAACGUGGAAGAGAUCCCAGACGUUGGCCCUCCCAAGCAUCAAUUAAAGAAACAAAAAAUUGAGAAUAUCAAGCCCAAGAUAGAUGAAGCAGUAAGAAUUGAAGGUGCCAUGAAGGUCUUUGUGUAACCUAAAAAUAACAUCGGCUAGCGACAUAUCGGCAAGAGUCCCAUAAUUGAUCUCGAGAAGGAAACGAGUGUAAAAUCAAAAAACAUAGUGACCUCUGAUGCUUUGGAGCAGAUGGUAUCGAGUUUGCAAGCUUCCAUGGCUUAACUCGGAUUCUCAUCUCCGACUCCCCAAGAAGGAUCUUCUUAAUCCGAGCCAAAAAUCUGGCCAAGGACGCUACAUCAGAGAUAUGAUUCUAAUCAUCAUUUUGAGAGGUUAGAUCAUAUAAGCAUGUCCCUUGAUGUGACAUCUUUUUUGGAAUGCCAAGUUUACUGCUGAAUCGUUCUACAAGGAAGAUCUAGAUUACAUUGCUGAUAAGGCAAUGAUUGAAAAGGUCGGCCCUGUUCAAGGUUUAGAUUCUGUUCAGGUAUUUUUGCAAAGGUCGAUAGCUAUGGUUGACUACUGGAAAAAUAAAUGGGAGAAGAAUACCAUGUAUAUGGCCAAGUUGAAGAUAGAUAAUGCGCAGAUUGGUCAGCUAAAUGCUGAAGUGACUGAGCUAAAAAAGAAAUUGGAGGAGAGUUUAAAGGCUUUUGAUAUAUUAGUAAGAUCCAACAAGUAUUACACGGCCAAAGUCUUCAACUUUUGAAAAAGGUGAGUUUAAUGGAGGGGGAGAAAGAAGCUUGGAACAAGCAACUUGCUGAUUUGGAGAGUAAGGUGAAAGAAUAUGAGGAAAAUACUAAAAAUUUACAAGUUGAAGUUCAAGGAUUGAGCGAGAAGAAUAAAGCGUGUUAGGAGGUGAUCGCGGCUAAUGUGAAGAAGAUUGGUGAUAUAGAGAGCAAAAACAAAGAACUGAGCAAAGAACUCGAGGCCACAGAAUUCCAAGUGAUAAAGAGGAUUUUCAAAGGCAUUACGACAAGUCCUAGUUGUCGCUGCAGGUGUCGAUUUGAAAUAAGUUCAUAUAGAUAAGGAUGUGUUUGAAAGCAAGCUGAUUAAUGAAGACAAUUUAUCCGACGAUACAAGUAGUGACUAGAGUAAAUUAGGGAGGAGCCAAGAAAAUGUACGAGUAAUUUUACUAUUUAGAUGCAAUUGUAAUUGACCAUUUAUGUUAAGA